GGUAUUAAGAAAGGAUGAUAGAACUAUGAUGACUAGAAAUGAGUUGUUCAAAAACACAUUGAGAAAAGCAGCUCAUGGAUGGAAACGGAUCAAUGAGCUUCGACUUUCUGGUGUGUCUCCAUCUGGGAGAUCUUGUUUCGUAGAUUUGUUAUUUUUGUUGUUAUUAUUAUCAUUACUGUUACUAUUUUUAUAUUUUUCUAUAUCAUUUUUCAUUUGCUUUAAUAAUGCAAAUUAUGCUACCAUUGUUACAGAAGAAGAAGCAUCCUGGUUUAGGCAUUAUGUUGAUCAACCAGCAUAUACGGAUCUUCACUGGGUAAGCUCCAAUUCUCCCUUUUUGUGCCAUUCUAAUUUGUCUAUAUUUCAAUAUCCAGUUUGAUAGUAUUUUUUUUACUACAAUUUUCCCACUUCCUUCUAUGAUAAGUAUUCUGCAUGUUUUUGUAGCCUUCAAAUAUUUGAAUUGUUUGUAUUUUUUAGUUAAUAUGUUAAUCUUCUCUUCAGGGAAUGUUUGUGCCUUUUAUUAAAGGAUCUGGUACUGA
rnacentral:lncRNA from 1 species